GAUGAACGCUAGCGGCAGGCUUAACACAUGCAAGUCGAGCGGAAACGCCAUCGAAAGUUUGCUUUUGAUGGGCGUCGAGCGGCGCACGGGUGAGUAACGCGUAACCCUCCUGCCUAUUACUUGGGAACAACCUUGCGAUAGCAAUACUACUACCUAAUGCCAUCCCAUGAAGACAUCUGAAUGGGAUAAAUGAUUUAUCGGUGAUGGAUGGGGUCGCGUCUGAUUAGCUUGUUGGUGGGGUAACGGCCCAGCAAGGCAACGAUCAGUAGGAGUUCUGAGAGGAAGGUCCCGCACAUUAGAACUGAGACACGGUCCAAAGGCCGGCGGGAGUCAGCAGUGAGGAAUAUUGGUCGAUGGGCGAGAGCCGGAACCAGCCAAGUGGCGUGAAGGAUGACGGCCCGAUGGGUUGUAAUCUGCUUAUAGAAGGGAAUAAGGUGGGUCUCGUGAGGCUUUUAGGGUAUACCUUAUAAAUGAGGACGGUCUAAUUGCG
rnacentral:rRNA from 1 species